rnacentral:rRNA from 1 species
UACGUAGGUGACAAGCGUUGUCCGGAUUUAUUGGGCGUAAAGAGCGUGUAGGCGGCUUUGCAAGUCCGUUGUGAAAACUCGAGGCUCAACCUCGAGACGCCGGUGGAAACUGCAAAGCUAGAGUCCGGAAGAGGAGAGUGGAAUUCCUGGUGUAGCGGUGAAAUGCGCAGGUAUCAGGAAGAACACCCGUGGCGAAGGCGGCUCUCUGGGACGGUACUGACGCUGAGACGCGAAAGCGUGGGGAGCGAACAGG